rnacentral:rRNA from 1 species
AACGAACGCUGGCGGCGUGCCUAACACAUGCAAGUUGAGCGCGAAAGGGAGCAAUCCCCGGUAGAGCAGCGCACGGGUGAGUAACACGUGAGUAAUCUUCCUUCGUGUCAGGAAUAACCACUGGAAACGGUGGCUAAUACUCGAUAAGCCCACAAUCCCUUCGGGGAAUGAGGGAAAAGGGGGCGCAAGCCUCUCGCACGAAGAUGAGCUCGCGGUCCAUUAGCUAGUUGGCGGGGUAAUGGCCCACCAAGGCGAUGAUGGAUAGCUGGUCUGAGAGGACGAUCAGCCACACUGGGACUGAGACACGGCCCAGACUCCUACGGGAGGCAGCAGUGGGGAAUCUUGCGCAAUGGACGAAAGUCUGACGCAGCAACGCCGCGUGAGUGAUGAAGGUCUUUGGAUCGUAAAGCUCUUUCGGGAGGGAAGAAAUGGUUGUGCGCUAAUACCGCAUAGCCUUGACGUACCUUCAGAAGAAGCACCGGCUAACUCUGUGCC